rnacentral:rRNA from 1 species
UUAGCGCCGGCUAACUCUGUGCCAGCAGCCGCGGUAAUACAGAGGGUGCAAGCGUUAAUCGGAUUUACUGGGCGUAAAGCGCGCGUAGGCGGCUAAUUAAGUUAAAUGUGAAAUCCCCGAGCUUAACUUGGGAAUUGCAUUCGAUACUGGUUAGCUAGAGUGUGGGAGAGGAUGGUAGAAUUCCAGGUGUAGCGGUGAAAUGCGUAGAGAUCUGGAGGAAUACCGAUGGCGAAGGCAGCCAUCUGGCCUAACACUGACGCUGAGGUGCGAAAGCAUGGGGAGCAAACAGGAUUAGAUACCCUGGUAGUCCAUGCCGUAAACGAUGUCUACUAGCCGUUGGGGCCUUUGAGGCUUUAGUGGCGCAGCUAACGCGAUAAGUAGACCGCCUGGGGAGUACGGUCGCAAGACUAAAACUCAAAUGAAUUGACGGGGGCCCGCACAAGCGGUGGAGCAUGUGGUUUAAUUCGAUGCAACGCGAAGAACCUUACCUGGCCUUGACAUACUAGAAACUUUCCAGAGAUGGAUUGGUGCCUUCGGGGAAUCUAGAUACAGGUGCUGGAUUGGUUGUCGUCAGCUCGUGUCGUGAGAUGUC